GGGGGUAUGGCAAAAUCGGUAGACGCUACGGACUUAAUUUAAAAAUCGUGAGGGUUCAAGUCCCUCUAUCCCC
rnacentral:tRNA from 1 species